UGCUGUUCCCGCCCAGGGCGCCGCGGGGUGUGGCCGUUUGCCCAGGGUCAGGCAGCCUUGAACCCCCAUCCUGAUGUCCAUUUAACCACCACGCCAGAGCGCCUCCCCAUCGCGUCCGCAUCCGUUAUAGCUCCGGGGGCCUCCCAACAGCUCAAGGAGACAAAACAACCACACUGGCGGCUGGCAUCGUGGUGCAGCAGUCACUGCCUCAUUUCACUCUCUCAGCAGGCCUGGAAGGCUCAUUGCUCCCAUUUUACAGGGUUCACCUUCAGCCUGGGCCUCUACCUGCAGCCAGCCAACUGGACAUACCUGAAAGAUGGUGGUAUAAACUACAUAGGUCGGGGCCCCCCAUUGUGGCACAAAGGUUAAGAAC